GCCAGACACAAUGUUGCAUGCAUGUAGACCCAGCUACUCAGGUGGCUGAGGCAGGAGGAUCCCUGGAGUUCAGGAGUUCUGGGCGAUAGUGCAUUAUGCUGAUCAGGUGUCUGUACCGUUAUGCAUCACUAUGGUGACCUCCUGGGAGGAAGGGACCACCAGGUUGCCUCAGGAGAGGGGAAGCAGCUCAGGUGGGAAACAGCAGGUCAAAACUCCUGGGCUGAUCAGUAGUGGGAUUGCACCUAUCAAUAGCCACUGCAUGCCAGUCCAAGCAAUGUAGAGAGGCCUAGUCUAA
rnacentral:SRP_RNA from 10 species